rnacentral:piRNA from 1 species
UAAAUUCGUGUCCUAUUCCUA